GGGGGGGGCUAGCGUUGUUCGGAAUUACUGGGCGUAAAGGGCGCGUAGGCGGUCUGCUAAGUUGGAUGUGAAAACUCUGGGCUUAACCCAGAGCCUGCAUUCAAAACUGACAGGCUAGAGUUCUGGAGGGGAUAGCGGAAUUCCUGGUGUAGCGGUGAAAUGCGUAGAUAUCAGGAGGAACACCGGUGGCGAAGGCGGCUAUCUGGACAGAAACUGACGCUGAGGCGCGAAAGCUAGGGGAGCAAACAGGAUUAGAUACCCUGGUAGUCCUAGCCCUAAACGAUGGAUACUUGGUGUGACUGGGAUUGAAUCCAGUCGUGCCGAAGCUAACGCAUUAAGUAUCCCGCCUGGGGAGUACGGUCGCAAGG
rnacentral:rRNA from 1 species